GCGAACGCUGGCGGCAGGCUUAACACCUGCAAGUCGAGCGGGCACUUUCGGGUGUCAGCGGCGGACGGGUGAGUAACGCGUGGGAACGUGCCCUCUGGUUCGGAAUAACUCAGGGAAACUUGAGCUAAUACCGGAUACGCCCUUUUGGGGAAAGGCUUGCUGCCGGAGGAUCGGCCCGCGUCUGAUUAGCUAGUUGGUGAGGUAACGGCUCACCAAGGCGACGAUCAGUAGCUGGUCUGAGAGGAUGAUCAGCCACACUGGGACUGAGACACGGCCCAGACUCCUACGGGAGGCAGCAGUGGGGAAUAUUGGACAAUGGGCGCAAGCCUGAUCCAGCCAUGCCGCGUGAGUGAUGAAGGCCUUAGGGUUGUAAAGCUCUUUUAUCCGGGACGAUAAUGACGGUACCGGAGGAAUAAGCCCCGGCUAACUUCGUG
rnacentral:rRNA from 1 species